UACGUAGGUGACCAGCGUUGUCCGGAUUUACUGGGCGUAAAGGGCGCGUAGGCUGCGGGGUAAGUCGGGUGUGAAAUCUCAGGGCUCAACCCUGAAACUGCACUCGAUACUGCUCUGCUUGAGGACUGGAGAGGAGACUGGAAUUCACGGUGUAGCAGUGAAAUGCGUAGAUAUCGUGAGGAAGACCAGUGGCGAAGGCGGGUCUCUGGACAGUUCCUGACGCUGAGGCGCGAAGGCCAGGGGAGCAAACGGG
rnacentral:rRNA from 1 species